CCCAACCCUGUCUCCUUUUUUUUCUGUCUGCUCCAGUCCCUCUUGAGAACUGCCUGGGUUCAGGAAGAAUUUUGCUGUUCCUUGAGGCAGGAGGUGAGUGUGGCACAGAGGGAUGGAAGCUGCUUUUCACUCCCUGGAAAGAUGUGGCGUGCCCAAGGCCAUGCAGACAGGAAUGCUAAUGGGAAUAAGAGAUCUCUCCUCAUCCUUGCUGCAGCACCCAGCUUCUACCAGUGGGGAGUCACUUGGUGGAUUUAGGAAGAGGUGUCCUGGCUGGCUGAUAGCUACUAGAGCUCCAACAGAAGGAAGAAGAUAUUUCCUCUGCCAGUGGAGAGCUUCUGUGAAUGGAGCUGGUAACCUGAGCUGGGAGGAAACAGUGCUGCAAGGCUUAGGGGAAGAUGAGUUUUGUCGUGCUAACCAGGUUUGUUCACACAAAAAAACCCUCUUCAUAUAGGA